rnacentral:rRNA from 1 species
CCUACGGGAGGCAGCAGUGAGGAAUAUUGGACAAUGGGCGCAAGCCUGAUCCAGCCAUGCCGCGUGCAGGAAGACGGUCCUAUGGAUUGUAAACUGCUUUUAUACAGGAAGAAACACCUCUACGUGUAGAGACUUGACGGUACUGUAUGAAUAAGCAUCGGCUAACUCCGUGCCAGCAGCCGCGGUAAUACGGAGGAUGCAAGCGUUAUCCGGAAUCAUUGGGUUUAAAGGGUCCAUAGGCGGUUCAAUAAGUCAGUGGUGAAAGCCCAUCGCUCAACGAUGGAACGGCCAUUGAUACUGUUAAACUUGAAUUAUAGGAAGUAACUAGAAUAUGUAGUGUAGCGGUGAAAUGCUUAGAGAUUACAUGGAAUACCAAUUGCGAAGGCAGGUUACUACUAAUAUAUUGACGCUGAUGGACGAAAGCGUGGGGAGCGAACAGGAUUAGAUACCCUGGUAGUCCACGCCGUAAACGGUGGAUACUAGCUGUUCGAGCAAUAUNGUGNGAGAGAGAGAGAGAUCCUAACCGUGGUAGUUAGUUCGUCGAGAAGUAGAAGAGAGAAGUUAGAGGCGNGAGAGNGCGACGGACGACGACGAGGGAGGAGG